CCUUCGAUAGCUCAGUUGGUAGAGCGGUGGACUGUAGUCGUUGUUUGUAAGAGGAAUCCAUAGGUCGCUGGUUCGAAUCCGGCUCGAAGGA
rnacentral:tRNA from 1 species